rnacentral:rRNA from 1 species
AAAGGAAUUGACGGGGACCCGCACAAGCAGCGGAGCAUGUGGUUUAAUUCGAAGCAACGCGAAGAACCUUACCUAGACUUGACAUCUCCUGAAUUACCCUUAAUCGGGGAAGCCCUUCGGGGCAGGAAGACAGGUGGUGCAUGGUUGUCGUCAGCUCGUGUCGUGAGAUGUUGGGUUAAGUCCCGCAACGAGCGCAACCCUUAUUGUUAGUUGCUACCAUUUAGUUGAGCACUCUAGCGAGACUGCCCGGGUGAACCGGGAGGAAGGUGGGGAUGACGUCAAAUCAUCAUGCCCCUUAUGUCUAGGGCUACACACGUGCUACAAUGGCGAGUACAACGAGACGCGAGACCGCGAGGUGGAGCAAAUCUCAAAAACUCGUCCCAGUUCGGAUUGCAGGCUGAAACUCGCCUGCAUGAAGCCGGAGUUGCUAGUAAUCGCGAAUCAGAAUGUCGCGGUGAAUACGUUCCCGGGUCUUGUACACACCGCCCGU